rnacentral:rRNA from 1 species
UACGUAGGGGGCAAGCGUUGUCCGGAUUUAUUGGGCGUAAAGCGCGUGUAGGCGGCCACGCAGGUCCGCUGUGAAAACUCGAGGCUCAACCUCGAGGUGUCGGUGGAAACCGCGUGGCUAGAGUCCGGAAGAGGAGAGUGGAAUUCCCGGUGUAGCGGUGAAAUGCGCAGAUAUCGGGAAGAACACCCAUGGCGAAGGCAGCUCUCUGGGACGGUACUGACGCUGAGGUGCGAAAGCGUGGGGAGCAAACAGG